GGGCCCGCACAAGCGGUGGAGCAUGUGGUUUAAUUCGAAGCAACGCGAAGAACCUUACCAGGUCUUGACAUCCUUUGACCACCCUAGAGAUAGGGCUUUCCCUUCGGGGACAAGGUGACAGGUGGUGCAUGGUUGUCGUCAGCUCGUGUCGUGAGAUGUUGGGUUAAGUCCCGCAACGAGCGCAACCCUUAUUACUAGUUGCCAGCAUUAAGUUGGGCACUCUAGUGAGACUGCCGGUGACAAACCGGAGGAAGGUGGGGAUGACGUCAAAUCAUCAUGCCCCUUAUGACCUGGGCUACACACGUGCUACAAUGGAUGGUACAACGAGUCGCAAAGUCGCGAGGCUAAGCUAAUCUCUUAAAGCCAUUCUCAGUUCGGAUUGUAGUCUGCAACUCGACUACAUGAAGUCGGAAUCGCUAGUAAUCGCGGAUCAGCACGCCGCGGUGAAUACG
rnacentral:rRNA from 1 species